UGCUUUGCGCAGUGGCAGUAUCAUAGCCAACAAGGUUUAUCCGAGGCACAAUUAUUGCUAAUUAAAAACAGUGUCUUGUCCCCACAGCUUUGCCAUAGCUCUGUCAUAAUUGAAGAUGUGUAAUUCUAGUCUGUCCAUCAGUGUU